rnacentral:rRNA from 1 species
GGAGUUUUCGGCAAUGGGGGAAACCCUGACCGAGCAACGCCGCGUGAGUGAGAAGGUCUUCGGAUUGUAAAGCUCUGUUACGAGGGACGAAUGACGAGUUCAGGAAAUGGGAUUCGUUUGACGGUACCUCGCCAGAAAGUGACGGCUAACUACGUGCCAGCAGCCGCGGUAAUACGUAGGUCACAAGCGUUAUCCGGAAUUAUUGGGCGUAAAGAGUGAGCAGGCGGCAUGGCAAGUCUGGAGUGAAAGCGUGGGGCUUAACCCCAUACAGCUUCGGAAACUACCAAGCUAGAGUGCGUGAGAGGUAAACGGAACUCCAUGUGUAGCGGUGAAAUGCGUAGAUAUAUGGAAGAACACCAGCGGCGAAGGCGGUUUACCAGCACGAUACUGACGCUCAGUCACGAAAGCGUGGGUAGCAAAUA